UACAGAGGGUGCGAGCGUUGUCCGGAAUUACUGGGCGUAAAGGGCUCGUAGGCGGCCAACUAAGUCGGACGUGAAAUCCCUCGGCUUAACCGGGGAACUGCGUCCGAUACUGGAUGGCUUGAGUUCGGGAGAGGGAUGCGGAAUUCCAGGUGUAGCGGUGAAAUGCGUAGAUAUCUGGAGGAACACCGGUGGCGAAGGCGGCAUCCUGGGCCAACACUGACGCUGAGUGAGCGAAAGCCAGGGGAGCAAACGGG
rnacentral:rRNA from 1 species